GACGUAGGGCGCGAGCGUUGUCCGGAAUCAUUGGGCGUAAAGGGCGCGUAGGUGGCCCGGUCAGUCCGUGGUGAAAGCGCGGGGCUCAACCCCGCGUCGGCCAUGGAUACUGCUGGGCUUGAGCACUGUAGAGGCAGGCGGAAUUCCGGGUGUAGCGGUGGAAUGCGUAGAGAUCCGGAAGAACACCGGUGGCGAAGGCGGCCUGCUGGGCAGUGGCUGACACUGAGGCGCGACAGCGUGGGGAGCAAACAGG
rnacentral:rRNA from 1 species